UACAGAGGUCUCAAGCGUUGUUCGGAAUCACUGGGCGUAAAGGGUGCGUAGGCCGCACGGUAAGUCAGAGGUGAAAUCCCGGAGCUCAACUUCGGAAUUGCCUCCGAUACUGCCGUGCUUGAGGACUGGAGAGGAGAUUGGAAUUCACAGUGGAGCAGUGAAUGCGUAGAUAUGUGAGGACACUAGUGGCGAGGCGAAUCUCUGGACAGUUCCUGACGCUGAGGCACGAAG
rnacentral:rRNA from 1 species